ACGCCGCGUGAGUGAGGAAGGCCUUCGGGUUGUAAAGCUCUGUCAGGAGUUAAGAAAUGUAAGUGUGCUAAUACCACAUUUAUUUGACGAAGGCUCCAAAGGAAGCCACGGCUAACUCUGUGCCAGCAGCCGCGGUAAUACAGAGGUGGCAAGCGUUGUUCGGAAUUAUUGGGCGUAAAGAGCACGUAGGUGGGUUUGUAAGUCAGAUGUGAAAGCCUUCUGUUCAACGGAAGAAUUGCAUCUGAAACUGCGAGUCUUGAGUGUAGGAGGGGAGAAUGGAACUUCUGGUGGAGCGGUGAAAUGCGUAGAUAUCAGAAGGAACGCCGGCGGCGAAAGCGAUUCUCUGGCCUAUUACUGACGCUCAGUGUGCGAAAGCUAGGGGAGCAAACGGGAUUAGAUACCCCGGUAGUCCUAGCCGUAAACGAUGGGCACUAAGUAGAGGGAAUUACCGAUGUUCUCUCUGCCGUAGCUAACGCAUUAAGUGCCCCGCCUGGGGAGUACGGCCGCAAGGCUAAAACUCAAAAGAAUUGACGGGGGCUCGCACAAGCGGUGGAGCAUGUGGCUUAAUUCGAUGCAACGCGAAGAACCUUACCGGGGCUUGACAUGGUAGAAGUAGGAACCCGAAAGGGUAACGAACGGUAUCCAGUCCGUAACUAUCACAGGUGUUGCAUGGCUGUCGUCAGCUCGUGUCGUGAGACGUUGGGUUAAGUCCCCUAACGAGCGAAACCCUUGUUUUUAGUUACCAGCGGGUUGUGCCGGGUACUCUAGAAAGACUGCCGUCGUCAAGACGGAGGAAGGUGGGGAUGACGUCAAGUCAUCAUGGCCCUUAUGCCCCGGGCUGCACAC
rnacentral:rRNA from 1 species